rnacentral:rRNA from 1 species
CUAUACAGGUGCUGCAUGGUUGUCGUCAGCUCGUGUCGUGAGAUGUUGGGUUAAGUCCCUUAACGAGCGCAACCCUUGUCCUAUGUUAAAUGAUCAUAGGAGACUGCCCCGGUUUAACGGGGAGGAAGGUGAGGAUGACGUCAAAUCAGCAUGGCUCUUACGUCUUGGGCUACACACGUGCUACAAUGGCCAGUACAAUGGGUCGCAAAAUCGCAAGAUGAAGCCAAUCCCAUUAAAACUGGUCUCAGUUCGGAUUGGGGUCUGCAACUCGACCCCAUGAAGUUGGAAUCGCUAGUAAACGCUGAUCAGCUACGCAGCGUUGAAUACGUUCUCGGGCUUUGUACACACCGCCCGUCACACCAAGAGAGUCGGUAACACCCGAAGGCUGACAUUAGUUGGACGAAGGUGAGAUCGAUGAUAGGGGUGAAGUCGUAACAAGGCAUCCGUAGCGGAAGCUGUGGAUGGAUCACCUCCUUUCUAAGGAGUA